rnacentral:rRNA from 1 species
GACGAACGCUGGUGGCGUGCUUAACACAUGCAAGUCGAACGGAAAGGCCCUGCUUUUGUGGGGUGCUCGAGUGGCGAACGGGUGAGUAACACGUGAGUAACCUGCCCUUGACUUUGGGAUAACUUCAGGAAACUGGGGCUAAUACCGGAUAGGAGCUCCUGCUGCAUGGUGGGGGUUGGAAAGUUUCGGCGGUUGGGGAUGGACUCGCGGCUUAUCAGCUUGUUGGUGGGGUAGUGGCUUACCAAGGCUUUGACGGGUAGCCGGCCUGAGAGGGUGACCGGCCACAUUGGGACUGAGAUACGGCCCAGACUCCUACGGGAGGCAGCAGUGGGGAAUAUUGCACAAUGGGCGGAAGCCUGAUGCAGCAACGCCGCGUGCGGGAUGACGGCCUUCGGGUUGUAACCCGCUUUCGCCUGUGACGAAGCGUGAGUGACGGUAAUGGGUAAAGAAGCACCGGCUAACUACGUGCCAGCAGCCGCGGUGAUACGUAGGGUGCGAGCGUUGUCCGGAUUUAUUGGGCGUAAAGGGCUCGUAGGUGGUUGAUCGCGUCGGAAGUGUAAUCUUGGGGCUUAACCCUGAGCGUGCUUUCGAUACGGGUUGACUUGAGGAAGGUAGGGGAGAAUGGAAUUCCUGGUGGAGCGGUGGAAUGCGCAGAUAUCAGGAGGAACACCAGUGGCGAAGGCGGUUCUCUGGGCCUUUCCUGACGCUGAGGAGCGAAAGCGUGGGGAGCGAACAGGCUUAGAUACCCUGGUAGUCCACGCUGUAAACGGUGGGUACUAGGUGUGGGGUCCAUUCCACGGGUUCCGUGCCGUAGCUAACGCUUUAAGUACCCCGCCUGGGGAGUACGGCCGCAAGGCUAAAACUCAAAGGAAUUGACGGGGCCCCGCACAAGCGGCGGAGCAUGCGGAUUAAUUCGAUGCAACGCGUAGAACCUUACCUGGGUUUGACAUGGAUCGGGAGCGCUCAGAGAUGGGUGUGCCUCUUUUGGGGUCGGUUCACAGGUGGUGCAUGGCUGUCGUCAGCUCGUGUCGUGAGAUGUUGGGUUAAGUCCCGCAACGAGCGCAACCCUUGUUCACUGUUGCCAGCACGUUAUGGUGGGGACUCAGUGGAGACCGCCGGGGUCGACUCGGAGGAAGGUGGGGAUGACGUCAAGUCAUCAUGCCCCUUAUGUCCAGGGCUUCACGCAUGCUACAAUGGCUGGUACAGAGAGUGGCGAGCCUGUGAGGGUGAGCGAAUCUCGGAAAGCCGGUCUCAGUUCGGAUUGGGGUCUGCAACUCGACCUCAUGAAGUCGGAGUCGCUAGUAAUCGCAGAUCAGCAACGCUGCGGUGAAUACGUUCCCGGG